rnacentral:rRNA from 1 species
UACGAAGGGGGCUAGCGUUGCUCGGAAUCACUGGGCGUAAAGGGUGCGUAGGCGGGUCUUUAAGCCAGGGGUGAAAUCCUGGAGCUCAACUCCAGAACUGCCUUUGAUACUGAAGAUCUUGAGUUCGGGAGAGGUGAGUGGAACUGCGAGUGUAGAGGUGAAAUUCGUAGAUAUUCGCAAGAACACCAGUGGCGAAGGCGGCUCACUGGCCCGGUACUGACGCUGAGGUGCGAAAGCGUGGGGAGCAAACAGG